rnacentral:rRNA from 1 species
GGGGUCUAAUACCGGAUAASACUUUCCCUCUCAKGGSAGAAGGUUAAAAGCUCCGGCGGUGAAGGAUGAGCCCGCGGCCUAUCAGCUAGUUGGUGGGGUAAUGGCCUACCAAGGCGACGACGGGUAGCCGGCCUGAGAGGGCGACCGGCCACACUGGGACUGAGACACGGCCCAGACUCCUACGGGAGGCAGCAGUGGGGAAUAUUGCACAAUGGGCGAAAGCCUGAUGCAGCGACGCCGCGUGAGGGAUGACGGCCUUCGGGUUGUAAACCUCUUUCAGCAGGGAAGAAGCGAAAGUGACGGUACCUGCAGAAGAAGCGCCGGCUAACUACGUGCCAGCAGCCGCGGUAAUACGUAGGGCGCAAGCGUUGUCCGGAAUUAUUGGGCGUAAAGAGCUCGUAGGCGGCUUGUUGCGUCGGUUGUGAAAGCCCGGGGCUUAACCCCGGGUCUGCAGUCGAUACGGGCAGGCUAGAGUGUGGUAGGGGAGAUCGGAAUUCCUGGUGUAGCGGUGAAAUGCGCAGAUAUCAGGAGGAACACCGGUGGCGAAGGCGGAUCUCUGGGCCAUUACUGACGCUGAGGAGCGAAAGCGUGGGGAGCGAACAGGAUUAGAUACCCUGGUAGUCCACGCCGUAAACGUUGGGAACUAGGUGUUGGCGACAUUCCACGUCGUCGGUGCCGCAGCUAACGCAUUAAGUUCCCCGCCU